CCCUUAGAUGUUCUGGGCUGCACGCGCGCUACACUGAUGCAUUCAACGAGCUUUCGAUCUUGCCCGAGAGGGUUGGAUAAUCUUUUUAAAGUGCAUCGUGAUGGGGAUAGAUUAUUGCAAUUAUUAAUCUUCAACGAGGAAUUCCUAGUAAGCGCGAGUCAUCAGCUUGCAUUGAUUACGUCCCUGCCCUUUGUACACACCGCCCGUCGCACCUACCGAUUGAAUGGUCCGGUGAAAUCUUGGGAUUUUGUUUUGUUUGCAUUUAUUUGUAUCGAGACGAGAGAACUUGAGUAAACCUUACCAUUUAGAGGAAGGUGAAGUCGUAACA
rnacentral:rRNA from 1 species